rnacentral:lncRNA from 1 species
AAACUUCAGCUACUAGCUACCAGAGAGAACUAUGCAUUCCCAAACUGUCCAAGCCUGGACAAUUCAAGAAUUAUUAAUAGACAUAUGAUCCUCACUAUCAUCCAAAGAUGACACUAAUACAACAUGUGUCUAUUAAUAAUUUCUUAAACAAGUCUAAGCUUUCAAUGCACGUAUCAAAAGUUUAAAAUUGAAUCUGAAAUUUGAAUAACACAUAAAUAUCAUAAAUCUCUUCAAUUUAUUCCUGAAACAAUGUAGCAUUAUUUCACACGUCAUUUCUUAAGCAAAACCAUAAAAAAUACAAACGAUAAAUACAUUUUCCCACUGAUGCAGAUUAUGUUUACUGAGUAAUAAGUUUUAUGUCAUUCAUGUUGAAAUACUUCUGCCUAUUCUUUCAACAUAUAACUAGUACGUACACACAAUUAAUAAAUUUAAAAAAAAAAACUGGUGGUGAAUCUUGCAAAAUCUUCCUUUUUUCUUUUUUUUUUCUUUUUCUUCUUUUUUUUGGGGGGGGGGGGUGUGUUGGGGGAACUAUGAAUCUUGCAAAUCCUCAAGAAGCCAUGUUAAGACAAGGCCAGCUUACUAUUAGGGUAUGAAAGAUAAAACCUUUUAUUUCCUUUUCAGAAUAAAAAGGACAUUGACAGUGUUAAAAAAAAUCUAGAGGAUUUCAGGCCUCCAGAUCCUUACAAAUCAAGGAUAUUAAAAAAAAUUACUUAAGAGGAGAAAGGUUAUGCUCAUUUGUAUCUUGUUAGAAGAAAUUGAUCCAAAGCCUCAGUUUUAAUUUGCUUCAUAUAGCCAAUGACUAGGUGUUUAAAAACCAAUGAAUAUUUUUAUAAGAAAUCAACAAUAUUAUUGAAAGAAAAACCAAAUAAAAAUAAUAAAGCCAAUGAAUAGAUCAAGGCUCUUUGUGGUCUAAAACUAAUCAAACUAAGUUGUGGGCAAAGGCGAAUAUGUUUGUUUGGUCAAUAAUAAGCUCAACAAAUCACUAAUAAUCACCUAAUCACUAUUCCUUAUGCUAUGCAAUAUAAUGGCCUGGGUAAUGGCGCCAAGGCAGACAAUAAGUAGCUAGCCAGUUAUGAUAGUUGAUUAACUUAACCUACUGGAAAUCUGAAGACCAAAACGAAGAAGCUUUGUCUAGAACUAGAAUAGGAACGUUCGUACCCAAAACUAAUAUACACAAUUAAGAAACUUGAUUAUAUGUAUAUUUCUGUUGGCCACACUUAAAGAGAAUUUCCAAAAGAUGCUAAGGUACACCAAAUCCCACUAUUUCAUACUCAUAAACACAAAAAACCAUGGUAAAAAUUAAUGACUAUAUCAAAUAAAAUCGGUGAUAGGACGUUGAGAUUAGGACAACUUGAUUUGUAUACCGUAAAAUAACUAUAUCUGCAUGGUGAACUAUAUUUCUGUUAGAACUCUGAAGUUUUCUAUUAAAUUUUUUUCUCUGUUAGGUAAACCACUUAACUGAAGUGCUUAAGCCAAUUUUGACAAUCAUAGACAUAAAAGUAUUAAUAGGCUCAUUCAAGUGAAAUGAGCAUUAUUUCACACAUCCUUUAGGUUUUUAAGUCAUUUAGAAGUCAUUCAUGUUAAAAAAAAAAAAUUCAUAUACUUUCAAUAUAAUUAGAACAUACACAAUUAAUUAAUUAAAUAAAUCUGUUUCAGCUAGUAUAGGAACUUAAUUAAUCAAAGCUAGUAGUUAUAGCUAGGACUUGAACGAGGCACCUUUCAAAGUUCAAGAAGAGCAUCUGAACAUAAUGAAAGCACUUUCUAGAUAUGGUAAUGAUGCUUUACAUCUACAUGCUCUUACACAAUAUGAACUUUCAUUUACUCCAAGCUCUUAUUCUACAAGUCAAUUCAGUUUGUAGAUGCAAGCCAUUGUAAAAACUUUUGUAUUAUAAUUUCUGAAAAUAGAACGUAACAUUAUUAAUAUAGAAUCAGCAAUGUAUAUAACUUAUCAGACAAUAUAACAAGCACUUGGUGAGCAUACAAGAUAAACUAAAAUUUAAUAAUAUGUGGAAUUAAAGAUAAACUAAAAUUUAUGUUUAAACAUAAAUUUAAAGCAAAUCGAAUUGCAAAACAUUAGAAUGGAUGUUGGAAUUAAAGCUAAAUUCAAUAGUAAUUCAAAUGAAUCCAUUUGAACUUUGUAAAUUCCGCAGAACAAAAUUAAUUUGAGUGAGCAAACUCACCAAUGGAACAAGAACACAGGGGCUUCAACUUGUAGGAAUAAAAAAAUAUUGCUGGCGGGACAAAAAUUGACAAUAACGGCUACAAUACGAAUUAAAAAAAAAAUCAAAAUCUAUAAUUACAAGCUAAGUAAGAGAAGAAACUCAUAAUCACAAGCUUACCUCAAAAGAUGAAGGGAGAAUACGAUGAAGAAGAAGAUGCCCGGUGUUUUACGCCGUUCGCCGGCAACCAGUUAGGUUUACGAUGGUGGCUAGUCCAGCGAAUAGUUUUCUAACUGGAAAUAAAUUUAAAUUUCUAAAAUAGUACUAUACCGAACGGCUCUUCACCGUC